UUGACUUGAUCUUGAUUUUGGCAAUCUUCCUUAAUAUCCCUUCCCUCCAAAUACCAACCUUGUCUGAAUCUGUAGACAGAGAGAUGCAUUCUUCAAUCUGCAAGCCUAUUUCAUCCCCUGCUCACCUACUCUUGAAACCCUUUCACGAUCUUGUAUUGGGUUUUGGUCUUCCCCCAAAACCCAAUUUUGCUGUCAAAAAAUGUGUCUUUCUCCCCAAAAGCACUUUUUUCUACUGCCAAGGAAUCAGUCUUGAGAGAGUUCCAUGAAAAAGAGCCCUCAAGGUAUAAUACAACCAAUCCAAUUCUCAUUUAUCCUUCAUCUGUUUUGGAACCUGAGAAAAUGAGAAAUCAAAAUCCUCCACCUAAGGAGCCAAAUAAAAUUAUCUAACCUUUUUUAAAAAAAAGAAGAAAAAUUGGAAACUAAAUGGCUUGAAAUUGUACUGGGUUUCUUCCAUUUUUCCCUUUUCCUUUUCCCCAGUUUUCUCAGCAAACAAGGAAUAGAUUUAAUGACUUUUCCCACAAUCUCAUCAUUUGCACAAUUGGGUGCCUCUCAGAUAAUUUCAGGCCUGCAGAAUUUUGAUAGGCAAUGUUGCUUCUGUUGUUACUGCUGCUGACAUGGUUGGUACCAUUUUUAGGUUACAUCUGCUCUAUAGAUUUCCAAUGAAAAUAUGUGAAAAUUGUUUGCUUAUUGCUCAAUUCAGUGGUUUUGGUUCCAUAAGGUGUAGCAAAACCAAUAGCCAUGAAAGUUUGUCUUUAAACUCCUUACAAAAGGGAGAAUUUGGCAUAGCAUUUGUUCAAUGUGGGUGAUUGAAUCCUAUUGUAUUGUUAGGAUCAAGUAGAGUAGCCAUCUCAGUUCAGGGAAGGAAAAUCGAACAGUUGAGUAAAUUGGUACUAGAUUGGAAGAUUCUGUCUUGGGAUGGAGGAUUUUGUGAUUCAAUUUUGCCCUUUUUAUGUACUGCAUCAUCAACUCAUCUCAAGUUACUUACUGUUUGGUGGUGGAAUACAGAAUUAAUUAUGAGUUUCAAUCAGUAGAGGGUAUUGGUGUUUGGUUGUCAAGAAUUUGACAAUCUUGAAGCACUCUCUUUGCAUAUGUUAACAGUUGGAUUCUUUCUGUAUAGCUUGGGGUAAAUGUUCUUUUGUGUGCCAUUGUUUUGGUUGAAAAGUAUGGAUUGUAUAUGUCCACUGUAGAUGAGGUUUGUUCUCUUAUGUAUCGACUUUUUUCUCUUCAGUAAUCCUUAUGUUUUUGGUUUUGGAAUUCCUGGUUAAUCAUUCUAUGAGUUAUUUGUGAAUAAUCCAUUGUAUUACACUUUCCUUGACAUUGGUCAUGCCCUUAUCCUGUCCAAUCCCAAUUACAGCAGGGAGCAACUCAUGUAGAUAUAGCCUGUGACCCAGAAUUGGUGAGGCUUGCCUUAAGCUUAACGUCUCUUCCGGUAAAUUCUAACCCUUUAAACACUAAAUUCAAAAUCACUACUUCAAAUUAAAGCUAUUGUUAAUUACUUAGUAACAUGUUUGUCUGUUGCGGGUUUGUGCGUCUUCAAUGGAUCCAGCAGCAUUCCCUGCUGCUGUUGAAGCAGGAGCAGUGAUGGUGGAGAUUGGAAACUAUGAUUCCUUUAUGAGAAGGGUGUGCUUUUCUCUCUAGAGCAGAUCCUAAACCUGACAAAGGAAACUAAGAGGAUUCUCCCGUCAGUGACACUAUCAGUCACUGUGCCCCACACUCUAAGCCUCCCAGAUCAGGUUACAUUUGGAACUUUCACUUUUAGAAAUGUAAAUCCAUGGCCAUUCAUUUGACUUACGCAUAGCAUCUCAAUAAGUGACAGGUUAAGCUAGCUGAGUUGUUGGAGAAGGAAGGUGUGGACAUCAUUCAGACUGAAGGAGGAAAGUGUUCUAACCCUACCAAGCCUGGUGUUCUUGGUUUGAUAGAGAAGGCAACCCCAGCACUAGCAGCAGCAUAUUCUAUUUCACGGGCAGUCCAGAUCCCUGUAAUGUGUUCAUCUGGGCUCAGUGCAGUUACAGCUCCAAUGGUCAUCACAGCAGAGGCAGCAGGCGUGAUAAGUAAUCCUUAAAAGAGUUGCAAAACUUGAGAGAAUCACCAUUGAUAUGUUUUUAGUACUGGGGAGAAAUGAUUUACGCUGAGGUGCAUUUUGGACACAGGGUGUGGGCUCUGCAGUUAACAGGAUCAACGAUGUGGUUGCAAUGAUCACAGAGGUUAGAAGCAUUGCCAGUUCGUUAGGAGCAUCGGCUGAUAGACACAGGACACAUGAAGAGGAGGUUUUGAGGAGAUUGUAACAUGUAGAGUUUGAAGAGACUUGAAACCUUUGAGCUUUGCUUUAAUGGUGCAAUGAGAUGAAUCCAAGUUUCCACCGGAACAAA